CCUCUUCGAUCUGUUGCGGGCAGAUAAAGUGGAUAUGCGCAUCGAUGCCGCCGGCGGUAAGAAUCUGUCCUUCGCCGGCGAUGAUCUCCGUGCCCGGCCCGAUGGGAAAAUCAAUCCCUGGCUGCACGUCGGGGUUGCCCGCUUUGCCAAUACCGCUGAUGCGCCCCCCCUUGAUUGCCACGUCGGCUUUGACUACGCCCCAGUAAUCAAGAAUCAGGGCGUUGGUAAUCACCGUAUCCGGUGACUCUGCACAGCUGACCUGGGAUUGCCCCAUGCCGUCGCGAAUG
rnacentral:sRNA from 1 species